CUGACCAAGGAAUACUAAAAACAAGUGCAAGUGCGUCUUAAAAUCGCGCUCACUUUUUUUCUACACGAGGAGGCUGACACGUUCUUCCUUUGCUUCAUAAAUUAUAAUAAAGGAAAGCGUGGUUCACCAAAGGUUUUUUUGUUAUUAUUUAAUUAAUAAUGGUGUACAAGUGUUCUGCUCCUGGAUGCAAGCAGGGCUAUGACGGCAUUACUAAGGAUCUGGAUGUUAGCUUUAAUAAAUUCCCAAUGAAAGACUCCAAAAUUCUAACCAAAUGGCUUAGGGCCAUCCCAAGAGAUACAAUUUACUAGACACUAACAGCGAAUUCAAGACUAUGCAGUUUGCAUUUUAAAGUGACUGAUUUUAUUACUGAAUCUUUAGAUCAAUCCCGUGAUAAAGGAAAAUCACUCUAACGAAGGAUCUUCCAAAAACAGCAAGGAAUAGUAUUUUAUAUAUGUAGGAGUUGUUUAGAUGAUAUUAAAUAUUCAUUAUUGUA
rnacentral:lncRNA from 1 species